UACGGAGGGUGCAAGCGUUAUCCGGAAUCACUGGGUUUAAAGGGUGCGUAGGCGGUCUUGUAAGUCAGUCGUGAAAUCGCUGGGCUCAACCCAUGCAAUUGCGAUUGAUACUGCGGGACUUGAAUGGGGUUAAGGCAGGCGGAAUGUGGCAUGUAGCGGUGAAAUGCAUAGAUAUGCCAUAGAACACCGAUUGCGAAGGCAGCCUGCUGGGCCUUUAUUGACGCUGAGGCACGAAAGCGUGGGGAGCAAACAGG
rnacentral:rRNA from 1 species